GGAAGUCGACGUUGGGGAAGAAGGAAGAGGGAGAGGGAGGAGCUGCCGUCCAUGGCAGGUGGAGAUGGAGGCCGCUCAAGGCGUGGUGGCGACGGCUGGUGGAAGAGCCGACGCUGGCAAGUCCAGUGGUAGAGUCAGCGGCGGGGCAGUGUGCAAAAAAAAAGAAAGGGGAAGAAUAGGCAACUGUCCGAUGCCAUUAAUGGCGUGUCCAACAGCACCAAGGGUGGCAAUUAGCUUGCCGGAGAGUGGGCUUUCUU
rnacentral:lncRNA from 1 species